UUAGUUCUCACACUAAUGACAUCAAGUUUGUUCACACUUCUCUGUACCAUUGCCUUUGGGUAGUCCUCUUGUCCACUGACAAUAGACUUGACCAUGUCACUUUCUUUGAUCAGUGAGACAAGCAAAGAAUUGAAAAGUGAUGGACCAUUGGAACUUUUCUUCUUUUGUUGAUUUUGGAAACCUGCUGGAUAACAAAGACUGGCCCAGUUUACCCCUUCACCUCAGCUGACAGCCAGCCAGCCCUCGGAGCUGUGACACCUACUUGACUGCAUCUGCUUGAUAAAUAAGAAGAACCAGCUGGUACCUGUAAUGUAAAAGAACAGCAAGAAUACAGCAACAAAGCAAAUCAUGAUUCAGAAUGUCACAAUCAUCUUGGAUCUUCACACUUGCAUCAGAAUGUUGGGGAUCUUUUUAUCUUCAUGUAAAGAAGUCCUGGCUAGCUUAAUGUAGGAACCACCUGCAGCAGAAACAAGCCAUCCCAAUGGAGGAUCCCUAAUGCCAAACACGAAAGUUGCAACCAUCCUAAUCUCUUCAGCCCCAGUCAAAUCACCAGCCCCAGUCACAUCACCAGCUGAUGGUAGAAA
rnacentral:lncRNA from 1 species